CAGCCGCCGCGGGAAUACGUAGGUGGCAAGCGUUGUCCGGAAUUAUUGGGCGUAAAGGGCUCGCAGGCGGUUUCUUAAGUCUGAUGUGAAAGCCCCCGGCUCAACCGGGGAGGGUCAUUGGAAACUGGGAAACUUGAGUGCAGAAGAGGAGAGUGGACUUCCACGUGUAGCGGUGAAAUGCGUAGAGAUGUGGAGGAACACCAGUGGCGAAGGCGACUCUCUGGUCUGUAACUGACGCUGAGGAGCGAAAGCGUGGGGAGCGAACAGGAUUAGAUACCCCGGUAGUCCCUGUCUCUUAUAC
rnacentral:rRNA from 1 species